rnacentral:rRNA from 1 species
AUACAGAGGGUGCGAGCGUUAAUCGGAAUUACUGGGCGUAAAGCGCGCGUAGGCGGCUUAUUAAGUCAGAUGUGAAAUCCCCGGGCUCAACCUGGGAACUGCAUCUGAUACUGGUAAGCUAGAGUUUUGGAGAGGGAAGUAGAAUUUCAGGUGUAGCGGUGAAAUGCAUAGAGAUCUGAAGGAAUACCAGUGGCGAAGGCGACUUCCUGGCCAAAAACUGACACUGAGGUGCGAAAGCGUGGGUAGCAAACGGGAUUAGAAACCCCAGUAGACC